rnacentral:rRNA from 1 species
AGACCUCAGGUCAGGCGGGGCUACCCGCUGAGUUUAAGCAUAUCAAUAAGCGGAGGAAAAGAAACUAACAAGGAUUCCCUUAGUAACGGCGAGCGAACCGGGAAGAGCCCACCAUGAGAAUCGGUCGCCCUAGGCGUUCGAAUUGUAGUCUGGAGAAAGCGUCAUUCACAC